rnacentral:pre_miRNA from 1 species
UGCCUUAUGUAUUUGUGCUGAGAUUUCGUCGCACACCAGACCGCAAGGUCUGAUGAAACUUCCAAGAUAAGUGAAGCG